GAAAGCCGGAUGCGGGAAAACCGCCUGUCCGGUUUGAUGAGGGGCGGGAGGAUGCGGUCAUGGGCUUUCAAGCCUCUCACUCCGUCUCCUCCCGCCUACUCUAC
rfam:Chthoniobacter flavus Ellin428 ctg53, whole genome shotgun sequence.